ensembl:snRNA U2 U2 spliceosomal RNA
AUCACUUCUCGGCCUUUCCACUAAGAUCAAGUGUAGUAUCUUUUCUUAUCAGUUUAAUAAUGUAAUAUAAUAUAGUGGAAAUAAAUGUUAAUAAUUUGGUUAUCAUUUAUUUAUAAAACUAUGAAAAACAUAGUUUUGAUACUGUUACUGCCUUCCAGGUUAACUGUUUGAAUCUCACUAUU